UACGUAGGUGACAAGCGUUGUCCGGAAUCACUGGGCGUAAAGCGCACGUAGGCCGAUUGUUAAGUCAGGGGUGAAAUCCUGGAGCUCAACUCCAGAACUGCCUUUGAUACUGGCGAUCUCGAGUCCGGGAGAGGUGAGUGGAACUGCGAGUGUAGAGGUGAAAUUCGUAGAUAUUCGCAAGAACACCAGUGGCUGAAGGCGGCUUACUGGCCCGG
rnacentral:rRNA from 1 species